rnacentral:lncRNA from 1 species
CAUGAAUCCAGUAAAAAUAGGGGCAAAUUUUUAAUUUUCCUUAACAGAGGGUCCCUCUGCCUUGAUAAGAUUCACCUCCAUGCAUCUGACUCUAACUGCUUUAAAUUAAGCAAAGAUUCCAGCUUUUAAAGCUGAUGUCAUCAUCCAUAAAAUAGGUAUAAUACUACAACCUUCUUCAUUGGGUGGUGAUGACUAUCCAAUCAUAUGAUGUCUGAAAUGAAAGUAUUUU